GGUGCAUUGGCAGAUUGGCAUUAUGCAGCGGAUUGCAAAUCCGUAUAACUCGGUUCGAUUCCGAGGUGCACCU
rnacentral:tRNA from 1 species